UUUUGUUUUGUUUAGCUCUUUAUAACUUUAGUUUAUUUAGGAAAUGUAACAUAAUAAUAUAGGUACAUUUCAUUAUUAAGUGAAUAUUAUUUGGCAAAUAGUUGUAAAUAAUGAAGUUGAAACUGGUAUUUGUUAGCUGAGGCACGCAGACUUUCUCCUCUUCGCACGAGUGAGGUCCACAUCUCCCAGAGUCGCGUUGCCGAUGUUCAAUUUAUGAAGAUUGCGUCGAGUGGAGCACGUAUGGCUUUGUAUGAUUGAUUCCACUUGAUUGAUUACUAAAACAUAAACCAAGUUUAUGACGAAACAUAUGCAAGGAUAGGGGAUUUUAAGGUCUAACUGUUAAAAUGGCGCCGUCGAUUGGACAGAAACGGCUUUGGACAGAGAAGCAUGGCGGUCUUUGGUGUCGGAGGCCAAGAUCCACUUCGGGUCGCUGCGCCACAGCAGUAAGUAAGUAAGUAUAUUAUAAUUGUUCGUAAGGAGUAAGGAGUAACUCCAGUCGUGCUUUGGAGUUGACAUAAACAUAUUUUAUUUAAUGCGUAAAUUAAAGUUAGUUUUCGAUAAACGCAACAGAUAAGAUCACGCGAUAACUUUACUACAUAUUAAGUGUAAUAAUAAGUAUAAAUAGUGUUAGGUGGUUUUAAUUUUGUUCGUAUUAGGCAAAGUUCUCUCCGAUGGUUGAUUCCUCACUUCAAACAAUUUUUAUAAGUACUACUAUUCAAUAGCCAGAGACAGUGAAUAGAUAGUGCAUCACGUUACCUAACAGUUCCUUAACCUACAUGACAUGACACUGAUAACGCAACUCGAGUUUAUGUUCGUGGACCGGCAGGGUGUAAUUUAUGAUUAAAGAGAGUAUUCUGUACACCCUUUGUAUGCAUGUGCACUAUGUGCAGCCUCGUCAAGUAAUAAUACGUUUUAGUUAAGUUUCGUACAAGUAUCUUAAUACUGUAAAUAGCUGCUGUAGGUCGUGUCCUUGUAUUUUACUAAGCUUUACAACUUCCAAUCCAAUCGAUUUACAUUUUUUUCGGAGUCGUUAAAAGGUUAUCAUUUCAGCGAACGGUCUCAUAGCGAAGAGUUUCGACCAAUACCUUGAGAGACUCUCGCUAGGUGGUUGGAUCAAGGGUCAGAUGCAGAAGGCGGUGACCUUGGACACGGCGCGGAUAGUCCGGCGGCUCCUCUCUCUGCAGCCCUGACCACCGGCAGCUUAGGCCCUGCCCCGCUGCUGGCGGCACCCUAGUUUAGGUUUUUUAUAAUGUGUAUAAGUAUAUCUUUUGUAUUGUUUUAUAAGUGUUUUUAUAUUUUACUUA